rnacentral:rRNA from 1 species
CUUGGUGUCCAUAGCGCCAGGGAAAUACCUGUUCUCAUUCCGAACACAGAAGUCAAGCCUGGUGGCGGCGAUUAUACUGCUAAGGCGGGAAACUAGCAAGAUGCCAAAU